UUAAGUUCAGCGGGUAGUCCUACCUGAUUUGAGGUCACAUUAAUGAUAAAUUGUCCAAAGACUGUUAGAAAGCUGAACUGCCCUCACAUUCAAUAGCGUAGAUAGUUAUCACGCCAAUGAACAAGGUUGUUCUGCUAAUGCAUUUCAGGAGAGCUGAACCCUAUUAAGAGGCCAGCAAGCCCCCACAUCCAAGCCCCUCC
rnacentral:misc_RNA from 1 species